CCACGUUGAUCCUGCGUGAGAUUGCUGCUAUUUGGGUUCGAUUUAGCCAUGCAAGUCAGAUAGUAAUAUCGGCAGAAUGCUCAGUAACACGUCAUUAAUCUAACCUUAGGUCAGGCAUAACCUUGAGAAAUUGAGGGUAACUCCUGAUAGAGAAAAUGUUCUGGAAUGAACUUUUCUUGAAACUCGUGCCUUAGGAUGAGAUGGCGGCUGAUUAGGUUGUUGGUGAGGUAAAGGCUCACCAAGCCUAAGAUCAGUAGGGGCCUUGAAAGAGGGAGCCCCGAGAAGGGUACUGAGAUACUGACCCUAGCCCUACGGGGUGCAGCAGGCGCGAAACCUUUACACUGCACGAAAGUGCGAUAAGGGGACCCAAAGUGCAUAUACUUUGUAUAAGCUUUUUUCAAAAGUAAAUACUUUGAAGAAUAAGUGGUGGGCAAGACUGGUGCCAGCAGCCGCGGUAACACCAGCGCCACGAGUGGCAAUCAUGUUUACUUGGCCUAAAGCGUCCGUAGCCGGUUAGGUAAAUCUUUUGUGAAAUUGUUGGGCUCAACUCAACAACGUGCAGAAGACACUACCUAACUUGGGACCGGGAGGAGUCAGAAGUAUUCUUUGGGGAGCGGUAAAAUGCUAUAAUCCUUAGAAGACUACCUGUGGCGAAGGCGUCUGACCAGAACGGAUCCGACGGUGAGGGACGAAAGCUAGGGGCGCGAACCGGAUUAGAUACCCGAGUAUUCCUAGCUGUAAACUCUGCGAGCUAGAUGUUGCAUUUUCUCCGUGAAAGUGCAGUAUCGUAGCGAAGGCGUUAAGCUCGCCGCCUGGGAAGUAUGGUCGCAAGACUGAAACUUAAAGGAAUUGGCGGGGGAGCACCACAAGGGGAUGCGGCGUGCGGUUUAAUCUAACUCAACACAGAGAAUCUCACCAGCAGCGACGGCAGAAUGAAGGUCAGGUUAAAGGCUUUACCUAACAAGCCGAGAGGUGGUGCAUGGCCGCCGUCAGCUCGUGCCGUAAGGUGUCCAGCUAAGUCUGGUAACGAGCGAGAUCUGUGCCCACAAUUGCUAACAAGUUCUUCGGAAUGAUUGAGCACAUUGUGGGGACUGCCUUCGAAAGGAGGAGGAAGGUGCAGGCCACGGUAGGUCUGUAUGCCCCGAAUCUGCUGGGCUACACGCGCGCAACAAUGGUUAAGACAAUGGGCUACGACUCCGAAAGGAGAAGUUAAUCCUCUAAACUUAAUCUUAGUUCAGAUUGAGGAUUGUAACUCAUCCUCAUGACGCUGGAAUCCCUAGUAAUCGGAGUUUAUCAAAUUCCGGUGAAUAUGUCCCUGCUCCUUGCACACACCGCCCGUCAAGCCAUCCGAGCAGGGUUUAGGUGAGAGUCAGUUUUUUGAUUGCCUCGAACCUAAGCUCAGUGAGGCGGGUUAAGUCGUCACAAGGUA
rnacentral:rRNA from 1 species